UCCGGUUUGUCACCGGCAGUCCCAUUAGAGUGCUCAACUGAAUGUAGCAACUAAUGGCAAGGGUUGCGCUCGUUGCGGGACUUAACCCAACAUCUCACGACACGAGCUGACGACAGCCAUGCAGCACCUGUGUCCAGGUUCCCUUUCGGGCACCCCUGCAUUUCUGCAGGGUUCCUGGCAUGUCAAGGGUAGGUAAGGUUUUUCGCGUUGAACGGUUGGUU
rnacentral:misc_RNA from 1 species